UCCCUGGUGACUCAGACGGUAAAGGAUCUGCUUCCAACGCAGGAGAUCCAGGUUUGAUCCCUGGGUUGGGAC
rnacentral:tRNA from 1 species